CACUUAAUAGCUAGCCCCCCCAACUAAACUCAACAUAUCACUAUUUAUAACCCCUUAAACCCUAUAAACUAAAAAUAAACCAUUUUUCCCCCUAAGUAUGGGCGACAGAAAAGGAACUCAGGGCGCAAUAGAAAAAGUACCGCAAGGGAACGCUGAAAAAGAAAUGAAAAAACUAAAUAAAGUAAAAAAAAGCAGAGACUAGAUCUCGUACCUUUUGCAUCAUGAUUUAGCCAGAAACUUAUAAGCAAAGAGCACUUUAGUUUAAUUUCCCGAAACUAAGUGAGCUACUCCAAGACAGCCUAAAAACAGGGCAAACCCGUCUCUGUGGCAAAAGAGUGGGGAGAGCUUUGAGUAGCGGUAACAGACCUAUCGAACUUAGUUAUAGCUGGUUGCCUAAGAAAUGAAUAGAAGUUCAGCUUUUUGGUUUCUCCCUUCCACUCAACUUCAAGCUUUCAGCCGAUUACUAAGAAAACCAAAAAAGUUAUUUAAUAGAGGUACAGCUCUUUUAAAUAAAGAUACAACUUUUUAAGAUGGAUAAAGAUCAUAAUAAACAAGGCCAAGUGUUUUAGUGGGCUUAAAAGCAGCCACCUAGAAGAAAGCGUUAAAGCUCAAACACACAAGAAAUCCUUAAAUCCCGAUAAUUAAUCUUAUUCCACUGAAUUUAUUAGGCCAUCCCAUGCUCACAUGGGAGAGAUAAUGCUAAUAUGAGUAAUAAGGGGAAAGACCCCCUCCCUAGCACAUGUGUACAUCGGAACGAACCCAUCACCGAAAUUUAACGGCCCCAAACAAAGAGGGUAAUGGACAGCAAAUAAAUAACAAGAAAAUCACCCAAAAACAACCGUUAAACCCACACUGGUGUGCAUUAAAGGAAAGACUAAGAGAAAAAGAAGGAACUCGGCAAACACAAGCCUCGCCUGUUUACCAAAAACAUCGCCUCUUGCAAAAACUAAGAAUAAGAGGUCCCGCCUGCCCUGUGACAAAUGUUUAACGGCCGCGGUAUUUUGACCGUGCAAAGGUAGCGCAAUCACUUGUCUUUUAAAUGGAGACCUGUAUGAAUGGCAUCACGAGGGCUUAGCUGUCUCCUUUUUCCGGUCAGUGAAAUUGAUCUCCCCGUGCAGAAGCGGGGAUAAAAACAUAAGACGAGAAGACCCUAUGGAGCUUUAGACACCAAAGCAGAUCUUGUUAAAAAUACCAAAAUAAAGGAACAAACCAAAAUGAACCCUGCCCUAAUGUCUUUGGUUGGGGCGACCGUGGGGAAACACAAAACCCCCAUGAGGACUGAGCACACUGUUCUCACAACCAAGAACUACAGUUCUAAGCAACAGAAUUUCUGACCACCAGAUCCGGCCAUGCCGAUCAACGGACCGAGUUACCCUAGGGAUAACAGCGCAAUCCUCUUUUAGAGCCCAUAUCGACAAGAGGGUUUACGACCUCGAUGUUGGAUCAGGACAUCCUAAUGGUGCAGCCGCUAUUAAGGGUUCGUUUGUUCAACGAUUAAAGUCCU
rnacentral:rRNA from 1 species